rnacentral:rRNA from 1 species
GAUAUUGGACAAUGGGCGAGAGCCUGAUCCAGCCAUGCCGCGUGGAUGAUGACUGACCUAGGGUUGUAACGUCCUUUCGACGGGGAAGAUAAUGACGGUACCCGUAGGAGAAGCACCGGCUAACUUCGGGCCAGCAGCCGCAGUAAUACGAAGGGGGCUAGCGUUGCUCGGAAUCCCUGGGCGUAAAGCGCACGUAGGCGGCUUUUUAAGCAAGGGGUGAAAUCCUGGAGCUCAACUCCAGAACUGCCUUUGAUACUGGAGAGCUUGAGUUCGGGAGAGGUGAGUGGAACUGCGAGUGUAGAGGUGAAAUUCGUAGAUAUUCGCAAGAACACCAGUGGCGAAGGCGGCUCACUGGCCCGAUACUGACGCUGAGGUGCGAAAGCGUGGGGAGCAAACAGG